AUGGGUGCCCUCUCCUUAAGAAUAUAGCGAUCCGAGGAGAGUUUUCCUUAGCUUCUGCCCCUCAUCCCACAUUGGCAAGACUAUGCCGUUUUUGCAACUGACGCUCUGGGGUUCCAAGAGGACCGCAGGCUGCCUGAUCACUUUCUCCACUGCUUUCUGGUUCCCCUCCCUCUUUCGGCGUUUUCUCGAUAUCCUUGACACUCACCAGGGGGAAAUAAACUAAAAGUGGGGUGAGGGGGUGUGGGGAAAACUACUUCCUACUUCUCUCUUCCUUCCACCCCAAGUUUCUAAAAGAAGGUUGGGAAGAGUCCCCUCAGCUGGGGAGGUGGACUUGGGUAGGGAGAAAAGUGCAUCUGCCCCAACGUGCCCAGGCCCGUGAGGUGCCCAGGGACCCUCCCCAAACUGGGCUGCAGCCACACAGAGGAGCCAGCGAGUCAGCUAAGCCAAUUUUGCCCCCACCUCGUGCAGCCGCUUGCGCUGGCUGAGAGUUGCGUGCGUUUUGUCGACUAGCCCUUUUUAUUUGGCACUUUGGGGCUGUUCCCUCCGCCCCUUUCCCCCGCCCCCCACAACAGCUUCCCCUCUUCAGUGAAUCACCGAACUGUAAGCUGUUCCCUCCUUCUCCCUUAGGAAGAGGGGGGAAAGGAGGAAGACGGGAACUGCAAGAAGUGCUUUGAGGGUAGGGGUGGGAGUGAGGUGAGGUGGGGUGGGGGGAGUGGUGAGAGCAAUCCCAGGAGAGCUGUUUCGGCUAGAAUUGUAUCUCGGUGGCGAUCUCUGCUCUUCUGGAUUAUCCGAAGAGGCAAGAAAUUUUUAGAGUUGUGGAGUAAGGAAAAUGGCGAGAAGCUUCCCUAUUUGGAUAUCAUGAUUGCAACUCCUGCCUUCUUUCUAUCAGUUGAGGCCCAGAAGGUCUUACUCCAUCCUUUAAUUCGGACCUUGUGAGUGUCUACCCGCCUCAUGUGUGUUUCUUGAAGACAACAAAUGGUAGUGUUUUGGGUUCUAAUUCAAUUUGCUAUUCGUCUACGUUUUAUGGGUGAGUUCAUCCCAUUCAUGUUCAAAGUUAUGAUUGUCA
rnacentral:lncRNA from 1 species